CGCAGCGAAAGGUGCUUGCACCUUUCAAGCGAGUGGCGAACGGGUGAGUAACACGUGGAUAACCUGCCUCAAGGCUGGGGAUAACAUUUGGAAACAGAUGCUAAUACCGAAUAAAACUUAGUAUCGCAUGAUACAAAGUUAAAAGGCGCUACGGCGUCACCUAGAGAUGGAUCCGCGGUGCAUUAGUUAGUUGGUGGGGUAAAGGCUUACCAAGACGAUGAUGCAUAGCCGAGUUGAGAGACUGAUCGGCCACAUUGGGACUGAGACACGGCCCAAACUCCUACGGGAGGCUGCAGUAGGGAAUCUUCCACAAUGGGCGCAAGCCUGAUGGAGCAACGCCGCGUGUGUGAUGAAGGCUUUCGGGUCGUAAAGCACUGUUGUAUGGGAAGAAAUGCUAAAAUAGGGAAUGAUUUUAGUUUGACGGUACCAUACCAGAAAGGGACGGCUAAAUACGUGCCAGCAGCCGCGGUAAUACGUAUGUCCCGAGCGUUAUCCGGAUUUAUUGGGCGUAAAGCGAGCGCAGACGGUUGAUUAAGUCUGAUGUGAAAGCCCGGAGCUCAACUCCGGAAUGGCAUUGGAAACUGGUUAACUUGAGUGUUGUAGAGGUAAGUGGAACUCCCAUGUGUAGCGGUGGAAUGCGUAGAUAUAUGGAAGAACACCAGUGGCGAAGGCGGCUUACUGGACAACAACUGACGUUGAGGCUCGAAAGUGUGGGUAGCAAACAGGAUUAGAUACCCUGGUAGUCCACACCGUAAACGAUGAAUACUAGGUGUUAGGAGGUUUCCGCCUCUUAGUGCCGAAGCUAACGCAUUAAGUAUUCCGCCUGGGGAGUACGACCGCAAGGUUGAAACUCAAAGGAAUUGACGGGGACCCGCACAAGCGGUGGAGCAUGUGGUUUAAUUCGAAGCAACGCGAAGAACCUUACCAGGUCUUGACAUCCUUUGAAGCUUUUAGAGAUAGAAGUGUUCUCUUCGGAGACAAAGUGACAGGAGGUGCAUGGUCGUCGUCAGCUCGUGUCGUGAGAUGUUGGGUUAAGUCCCGCAACGAGCGCAACCCUUAUUGUUAGUUGCCAGCAUUCAGUUGGGCACUCUAGCGAGACUGCCGGUGACAAACCGGAGGAAGGCGGGGACGACGUCAGAUCAUCAUGCCCCUUAUGACCUGGGCUACACACGUGCUACAAUGGCGUAUACAACGAGUUGCCAACCUGCGAAGGUGAGCUAAUCUCUUAAAGUACGUCUCAGUUCGGACUGCAGUCCGCAACUCGACUGCACGAAGUCGGAAUCGCUAGUAAUCGCGGAUCAGCACGCCGCGGUGAAUACGUUCCCGGGUAUUGUACACACCGCCC
rnacentral:rRNA from 1 species